GACGAACGCUGGCGGCGUGCCUAAUACAUGCAAGUUGAGCGAUGAAGAUUGGUGCUUGCACCAAUUUGAAGAGCAGCGAACGGGUGAGUAACGCGUGGGGAAUCUGCCUUUGAGCGGGGGACAACACUUGGAAACGAAUGCUAAUACCGCAUAACAACUUUAAACAUAAGUUUUAAGUUUGAAAGAUGCAAUUGCAUCACUCAAAGAUGAUCCCGCGUUGUAUUAGCUAGUUGGUGAGGUAAAGGCUCACCAAGGCGAUGAUACAUAGCCGACCUGAGAGGGUGAUCGGCCACAUUGGGACUGAGACACGGCCCAAACUCCUACGGGAGGCAGCAGUAGGGAAUCUUCGGCAAUGGACGAAAGUCUGACCGAGCAACGCCGCGUGAGUGAAGAAGGUUUUCGGAUCGUAAAACUCUGUUGGUAGAGAAGAACGUUGGUGAGAGUGGAAAGCUCAUCAAGUGACGGUAACUACCCAGAAAGGGACGGCUAACUACGUG
rnacentral:rRNA from 1 species